AGGCACGCGGUGAAUGCCAAG
rnacentral:miRNA from 5 species